UACGUAGGGGGCAAGCGUUUGUCCGGAUUUAUUGGGCGUAAAGAGCGUGUAGGCGGCUUGGUAGGUCCGCUGUGAAAACUCGAGGCUCAACCUCGAGAUGUCGGCGGAAACCACUUGGCUAGAGUCCGGAAGAGGAGAGUGGAAUUCCUGGUGUAGCGGUGAAAUGCGCAGAUAUCAGGAAGAACACCCGUGGCGAAGGCGGCUUUCUGGGACGGUACUGACGCUGGAGACGCGAAAAGCGUGGGGAGGCGAACAGG
rnacentral:rRNA from 1 species